AGAUAGGAGCAUGCCAUUGGUUGUAUUGAUGUCGCGUGAAUUUAAAUUAUAAACUACAACAUUUCUUUUUACCAUGGAUUAAAACUCAGUUUUGUCACGAAACACUGAAAAUUGCACUGUCAGUCUAGCGUUUCCGGUGUCAGCAAAUGAUUCUUGCACAAUGACGCACGUUCGUCACCACAGCAGAGAACUACACAGAGAAUAGAGACCAUGUGAUUGCCCUCAUUGUGGUUGUUCCUUCACUCAGCAUUCUGCAAUGUGCAGUCAUCAAAAGAUACAUCUUGAAUCAAAGGUCAGGUGUGCUGUCUGUGUGGAAAAACAUUCAUAGAACACAGCACAUUGCUCUGGCAUUGUAGAAAACACACUGGGAUAAACAAUCUGUCACAUGCAGCAGAAUGUGGGAAGCAGUAUGAAUGUACAGAGUGUAACAAGAUCUUCACCGAGAACUCCAUGUUGUACUACCACAAGAGAAGUGACUCCGGACUGAAACCAUUUGAAUGAAAUGUCUGUCAUCGCACGCUCCAUGUAAAGCACAACCUCAAGACUCAUAUGGUGUGGUAUGGUGGAGACUUCGUCUAAAGGCCUUCGCCAUUGUUCAGAAUACUAAAUCCUGAAGACAAACGGGGUUUGGAGCAGUCGCGGACGGGCCCUGCGAUAAUACAAGACGAAAUUAUUCAGUGCCUCCCAACACCUGCAGCUAUGGCACUGAAUUUGGAUACGAAACAUGGUUGUAACAGUUUCCUAAGAGACGGCUUGAAGUCAAAGCCAGAAGCAUUCGGAAUGGAAUUCGCCUUCCUUGAAGUGCCUGAGAUGACAUGACACAGAAUACAGUUUGAAGAAAGACUGAAGUGUUGAAGAGUCCAACUUGAUUUGAGGUCCUUGUGACGGUGAGUCCCGAAGAUGGCAGUCUUCUUGGUGUAGUCUGCUGGAAGACAGAAACGAGGUUUCCGGUAAGUUCCCACAGAGGCAAAGAACACGUCUGUCUAUUUUAUGAGCAUCUCCACAGCAGAAUAUUAUCAGGAAGCCCGUGUUUAUUCCCCGACAAACAAGUCGUUUCGUCCGUUGCGACGUAGUGCCCUGGUGUCAGAACGAGCUCCGGGCAAUGAGGUGCAGAUUUCGAAGAGCGUGUUACUUGAAGCCCCAGAGAGCAGCUCAGCGCGAUGAACGUACAUCAGCACGUGCCAUUGCCGCUGGGUAACUUGCCCGGUCUUUAUCCAUUCCGAACUACUCAGCAUGUGUAAGACUUGAUGGCUGUAUAGUUUACGGACGUUUCAGAGUUCCUUGCUGCCUCCGUCAUCAGGACGAUGAUUGUAGAUAGACUUCAUGAUUGUGAUGGUCGGAGGUUGGUGGAACUGACUCAGUGUCAUGGACCAGUGGCGAUGAUGAAACUAAAGAGUUCUGUUUCGACGUACAUGGUUAAUAGUUAUAACGUCAGUGUGUCUACGGUGGUGGUGGUCCGAAAAUUACGAAUUCCUCUUCAGUCUGACGACACGUGUGGCCGCUGCUCCGGAAGUGUUCGUGUGCCCCAGACGGUGUCGUGUUGCUGUGCUCAGUUCCCUGAUUUCAUCUCGCACAUAUCCGCUCGAAGCAGCUCAGGGGGUGGGUUCUGUUCAGCGUUUGCAUGGCUUUGUGUGCGAGCGGUAUCAGUAGCCGUAUUCUACGGCGACCACCGCCACCAGACGGCAUUGCGAUGCUAUCGGUCGCUGAAGCUCUCUCGCUGAUUAGUCAGGGGCGUGGGCCCAGGCUGCUUCACACUCAGCUCGACCUAUUUGACUCCUGCAAACAAAAAAGUUCUUUACAAUUCUAACCAGCCGCUGGUUAGUUAAAUGGAGCUGGCUGGCUGGUGCACCGGUCAGUGUGAUUACAGCAUC